CCCUUAUCCCUGUCCUGCAUCCUUAUCCCUGUCCUGCACCCUUAUCCCUGUCCUGCAUCCUUAUCCCUGUCCUGCACCCUUAUCCCUGUCCUGCACCCUUAUCCUUGUCCUGCAUCCUUCUGCCACGUCCUCCAUCCAUGUCCUCCAUCCUUACUCCUUGACUUCCAUCCCUGUCCUCCAUCCUUAUCCUUGUCCUGUGUCCUUGUGCCAUGUCAUCCAUCCAUGUCCUCCAUCCUUAUCCUUAUCCUGCCUCCUUGUGCCGUGUCCUCCAUCCUUACUCCUUAUCCUCCAUCCCUACUCCUUGUCCUCCAUCCCUGUCCUCCAUCCUUAUCCUUGUCCUGCGUCCUUGUGCCACAUCCUCCAUCCUUACUCCUUGACUUCCAUCCCUGUCCUGCACCCUUAUCAUUGUCCUGCAUCCUUGUGCCAUGUCCUCCAUCCUUACUCCUUAUCCUCCAUCCCUACUCCUUGUCCUCCAUCCCUACCCUCCAUCCUCAUCCUUGUCCUACAUCCUUGUGCCACAUCCUCCAUCCAUGUCCUCCAUCCUUACUCCUUGUCCUCCAUCCCUGUCCUCCAUCCUUAUCCUUGUCCUGCAUCCUUGUGCCAUAUCCUCCACCCACGUCCUCCAUCCUUACUCGUUGUCCUCCAUCCCUGUCCUCCAUCCUUAUCCUUGUCCUGCCUCCUUUUGCCAUGUCCUCCAUCCUUAUCCUUGUCCUCCAUCCUUACUCCUUGACCUCCAUCCCUGUCCUCCAUCCUUAUCCUUAUCCUGCAUCCUCAUCCCUGUCCUCCAUCCUUAUCCUUGUCCUGUGUCCUUGUGCCACGUCCUCCACCCAUGUCCUCCAUCUUUACUCCUUGUCCUCCAUCCCUGCCCUCCAUCCUUAUCCUUGUACUGCGUCCUUCUGCCACGUCCUCCAUCCUUACUCCUUAUGCUCCAUCCUUACUCCUUGCCCUCCAUCCCUGUCCUCCAUCCUUAUCAUUGUCCUGCAUCCUUGUGCCAUGUCCUCCAUCCAUGUCCUCCAUCCUUACUCGUUGUCCUCCAUCCCUGUCCUCCAUCCUUAUCCUUGUCCUGCAUCCUUCUGCCACAUCCUCCAUCCUUACUCCUUGUCCUCCAUCCUUACUCCUUAUCCUCCAUCCUUACUCCUUGCCCUCCAUCCCUGUCCUCCAUCCUUAUCCUUGUCCUGCAUCCUUGUGCCACGUCCUCCAUCCAUGCCCUCCAUCCUUACUCCUUAUGCUCCAUCCUUAUCCUUGUCCUCCAUCCCUGUCCUCCAUCCUUAUCCUUGUCCUGCAUCCUCAUCCCUGUCCUCCAUCCUUACUCCCUGUCCUCCAUCUUUACUCCUUGUCCUCCAUCCCUGUCCUCCAUCCUUAUCCUUGUCCUGCAUCCUCCAUCCAUGUCCUCCAUCCUUACUCCUUGUCCUCCAUCCUUAAUCCUCGUCCUCCAACCCUGUCCUCCAUCCUUAUUCCUGUCUUCCACCCUUAUCUUUGUCCUCCAUCCUUACAUCUUGUCCUCCAUCCAUGCCCUCCAUCCUUAUUCCGUCCUCCAUCCACGUCCUCCAUCCUUGCUUCUUGUCCUCCAUCCUUAUCCUUGUCCUCCAUCCUUACUCCCUGCCCUCCUUCCUUACUCCCUGUCCUCUAUCCUUACUCCCUGUCCUCCAUCCCCGCUCCCUGUCCUCCAUCCUUGUUCCAUACCCUCCAUCCUUGCUCCCUGUCCUCCAUCCUUAUUUCCUGUCCUCCAUCCUUGCUCCUUGUCCUCCUUCCUUACUCCCUGUCCUCCAUCCUUGCUCCUUGUCUUCCUUCCUUACUCCCUGUCCUCCAUCCUUGCUCCCUGUCCUCCAUCCUUGCUCCUUGUCCUCCUUCCUUACUCCCUGUCCUCCAACCUUAUUUCCUGUCCUCCACCCUUGUCUUUGCCCUCCAUCCUUAUCCUUGUCCUCCAUCCUUAUCCUUGUCCUCCAUCUUUGUACCUUGUCCUCCACCCAUAUCCUCCAUCCUUGCUACAUGUCCUCCAUUCUUACUCUCUGUCCUCCACUCUUCUCCUUUGUCCUCCAUUCUUAUUCCUUGACCUCCAUCCACGUCCUCCAUCCUUACUCCUUGUCCUCCAUCCUUAUUCUCUGUCCUCCACUCUUAUUCCUUGUCCUCCAUCCAUGGCCUCCAUCCUUAUUCCCUGUCCUCCAUCCAUGCCCUCCAUCCUUACUCCUUGUCCUCCAUCCCUGUCCUCCAUCCUUAUCCUUGUCCUGCAUCCAUACCCUCCAUCCUUAUUCCUUGUCCUCCAUCCUUACUCCUUGUCCUCCAUCCAUGCUCUCCAUCCUUACUCCUUGUCCUCCACCCUUAUUCUCUGUCCUCCACUCUUAUUCCUUGCCCUCCAUCCAUGCCCUCCAUCCUUACAUCUUGUCCUCCAUCCUUACAUCUUGUCCUCCAUCCAUGCCCUCCAUCCUUACAUCUUGUCCUCCAUCCUUACAUCUUGUCCUCCAUCCAUGCCCUCCAUCCUCAUUCCCUGUCCUCCACCCACGUCCUCCAUCCUUGCUUCUUGUCCUCCACCCUUAUCCUUGUCCUCCAUCCUUACUCCCUGCCCUCCUUCCUUACUCCUUGUCCUCUAUCCUUACUCCCUGUCCUCCAUCCCCGCUCCCUGUCCUCCAUCCUCACUCCUUGUCCUCCCCUAUUGCCCCAGAGACGCAAAAUGGACCUCACUUCACCAGCAGCCCACAUGGGCACCCAGAGAGCUGCAUUUCUCCAAAGCCUGGACGCAGAGAAGCUUGGGAGAACCUCUGCGAGUGGGACAAGGAAUGCCCACCAUCCUUAUAUCCUCCUCUGUCCCUGCCCUGAAGAUGGCGAAGGUGGCAACCAAGCGGAAGGGCACGAAGUCAGCACAGCUUCAGCCCGGCACGCACAGAACACCAUUCCCACCAGCAAAAAGCCACCUCCGGUCUCCCAGAGCUCUUCUCAAUUUCGAACAGCUUCAGAACUCAUCUCACUGAGGGUUCCUCAAUGCCUCCUGGAUCCCUCCGGGUCAUCCCGGCCCCUCCUGGGUCCUUCCCAGCCCAGCAGCGCAGAGCCCACGCUGACGCUGGAGCACAGACGAAUCCCUCUCGGCUCACUUUUCAGGUGAAGCAAACUGAAUCCCAGCAAGGGGAGGCUGGAAAUGCUCCAGCCUACGGCGGGUCCCACCUCUUCAACGGCUGUGUUCCAUCACCAGAGAGCCAGCGUGUGCUCCAGGGAGCAGCCCGCGGCACCUGCUGGGAUUGCGCAGUGCCAACAGCCGUCAGCUCUGACAAGGCCUGACACUCUUAUUGCUGCACAUGGCCAGUUACGGUAAUACGAAAGGACUCCUGUCCUCCUGAGCCCGCCGUGAUUGAAUUAACAUGAUCACCCUUUUUUUGCCAGUAACGUAGGCCUGGGUUUUUUGGGGUUUUUUUUUCCUUAAAUCAAUAAGACACGUCGUUUGCAAGAGGCUUUUAUCGUGCCGUGUUCACACAAGCCUGUGAGCCCGACCCCCCCUCACGCCUCCAUCAGUGACAGCGAUGUGUCAAUGGGCACUGUUCUGCUCGCUGGAUGACGCUGAGCUCUGCUGAGGAUGUGCCCCUGCUGCCAGCCCAAAAGAACGUGAACAACGCUCCCCCAAGGAGCAGCAAGGGGAAAAGAACGCUGCUUUCCAAGGCGCCGGGUAGAGUUUGGGUGCUGGACCAGAUGGGGGUUGGAGCUUCAUGAUCCUUGAGGUGCCUUCCAACCUGGGCCUUUCUAAGACCUUGGAAGGUCCCUUCCAACCCAAAUGAUGGGUGGGAAUUACGAGGGCAGAGUGGGAAUCCAGCAAAGUGACCCCAGGGAGCACAGCUGUGCUUCAGGAGCUCCUCCUCCUCCCAGCGACGGUGGUUGGACUGCCCAAAGCAACGCUGAGUGGGGGGACGGGGGAGAACCCGAACGGAAAGGAUGCCAAAGACACCCAGAGCGGCCAAGUUGGAAAGUAAAGAGCAGGAAUUCGUAGGGGGAUGGGAUGCGGGCUAACAUUGAAGAGCAAAUUACUCAGCCACGGCUUCUGCCAGCGCUGCUUGGAGAGGUUGUAUGGGACACAACAUGAGCACGGUUGGCACGCCUGGUGGGGAUGGGCUGGUUGGAUUUGGGGAUCUUGGAGGUCAUUGCCAGCCUUAAUAACUCCGAUUCUACGAGCAAACACGGUGGGGAUGGGUUGGCGGUUGGAUUUGGGGAUCUUGGAGGUCAUUGCCAGCCUUAAUGACUCCGAUUCUCUGAGCAAACACGGUGGGGAUGGGUUGGUUGGACAUGGGGAUCUUGGAGGUCAUUGCCAACCUUAAUGACUCCGAUUCUAUGAGCAAACACAGUGGGGGUGGGUUGGUGGUUGGAUUUGGGGAUGUUGGAGGUCACUUCCAACCUUAAUGGCUCCGAUUCUAUGAGCAAACAUGGUGGGGAUGGGUUGGUGGUUGGAUCUGGGGAUGUUGGAGGUCAUUGCCAGCCUUAAUGACUCCGAUUCUACAAGCAAAACAUGGUGGGGAUGGGUUGGUGUUGAUUUGGGGAUCUUGGAGGUCAUUUCCAACCACAGUGUUCCCACAGUUCGGUCGCUGUGCAACAGAUGUUGGCCGAUGAGGUCCAUUUUGCUGCCUGAAGGAGUCCAGAUGCAGUUAAGCGCUGCGCCGGGCCACCAGAAUCAGCGGUUCGUAAGGUUCUCAAUGACCAAGACAGACCUUGGAGGUCUCUUCCUUCAUCAUUCUACGACUCCACGGCUCGGGAUCUCCUUUCUUAGCUGCCUCAGUGGACGGUGCUGGCGCACAUGGGCUCGGGAAAGCCUCCUGUCCUCCACAGCCCCUUACAGAACAAGCUGGCUGAUCCUACUGGGGACGAAGGUCGGUGCUGCCCACCCUCUGCCUGCACAGCAGCACGACGGGAAGGGAAAGCGAAGACCCACCUCCUCUCUCACUCCCUCCACGUGUGCGGAGCUGUUAAACACCCCAAACACAACGUCACCGUGCCCACGACCACUCCGAGAGGGACCUAAUUUGCUCCCCUGCCCUACGGGGGAACUACCCUUAAGCACUCGGCCGCUCGCACGCUUAUUGCCCUCGCCACGGCGGGACGUUAAGCUUCGGCGCAGUGAGAUGAUUGCUUUUUAAAUCCCAGUCUCCCAGGAUUUUAAUUACUGGUCUGGCAGGGCUGGGAGUGGAAGUUGCUGCCGUCGGACGGAGGGGUCGAUACGCCGUCCCGGAACAUAUUGAGCCACGGUGCUCGCAGGCUCUAUUGAACUAUUUAAUCUUUCUUUUUUUUUUCUUGCAAAAUUUACCGCGCGGCAGAAGGGAUCAAUACUGAAUUUAUCACGUUGCCUCGUAAAUAUGAGCACGGAGAGGGGAAAGAGCGUCUCAGGCUCUCCUGCCCAACAGCUGGCCGGGGGUGGGCGCCGACUGCAGCUGCAGCACGGCACUGGGGGGGGCGGGGGCACAGAGGGGGCUGCCCAACGCCGCCUCUGCCCCCGUGGGGAAAGGACAAGGCAGGUGUGGGGCUGUGCUUGCGCAGCAGCUCAAGGCCGACGGGUCCUCGGCUCCAGGUGGGACAAGGCAGAAGCAGAGCAGUUUGCAGCUCUCCUUUCCCCCGGCUGAGCUGCGGGCAGCCGGGCGGAAGCGCUGGGAGCGUUGGGGCCCCGUCGGGUCAGGAGGACGGCAGCGCUCCGCUCAGCGCAACUUCUGCUC
ensembl:lncRNA